rnacentral:rRNA from 1 species
GAUGAACGCUGGCGGCGUGCCUAAUACAUGCAAGUCGAGCGAGCCACUUCGGUGGUGAGCGGCGAACGGGUGAGUAACACGUAGGUGAUCUGCCCAUCAGACGGGGACAACGAUUGGAAACGAUCGCUAAUACCGGAUAGGACGAAAGUUUAAAGGUGCUUCUGGCACCGCUGAUGGAUGAGCCUGCGGCGCAUUAGCUAGUUGGUAGGGUAAAGGCCUACCAAGGCGACGAUGCGUAGCCGACCUGAGAGGGUGAACGGCCACACUGGGACUGAGACACGGCCCAGACUCCUACGGGAGGCAGCAGUAGGGAAUCUUCGGCAAUGGGCGAAAGCCUGACCGAGCAACGCCGCGUGAAUGAUGAAGGCCUUCGGGUUGUAAAAUUCUGUUAUAAGGGAAGAACGACUUUAGUAGGAAAUGGCUAGAGUGUGACGGUACCUUAUGAGAAAGCCACGGCUAACUACGUGCCAGCAGCCGCGGUAACAC